GACGAACGCUGGCGGCGUGCUUAACACAUGCAAGUCGAACGGAAAGGCCCUGCUUUUGUGGGGUGCUCGAGUGGCGAACGGGUGAGUAACACGUGAGUAACCUGCCCUUGACUUUGGGAUAGCUUCAGGAAACUGGGGCUAAUACCGGAUAGGAGCUCCUGCUGCAUGGUGGGGGUUGGAAAGUUUCGGCGGUUGGGGAUGGACUCGCAGCUUAUCAGCUUGUUGGUGGGGUAGUGGCUUACCAAGGCUUUGACGGGUAGCCGGCCUGAGAGGGUGACCGGCCACAUUGGGACUGAGAUACGGCCCAGACUCCUACGGGAGGCAGCAGUGGGAAAUAUUGCACAAUGGGCGGAAGCCUGAUGCAGCAACGCCGCGUGCGGGAUGACGGCCUUCGGGUUGUAAACCGCUUUCGCCUGUGACGAAGCGUGAGUGACGGUAAUGGGUAAAGAAGCACCGGCUAACUACGUG
rnacentral:rRNA from 1 species